GAUCCUUCAUCCUUGUACAUGCUAGCAGGUGUAGGGAGCUCAUUUUGGGGGAUUACAUUUUGGGAUGAUAUUCUAUGUUGAGUUAUAUUUUGAGAUGGAGUAUUUAUAGACUAAAAGAAAGUGGCAAUAGAAUGUAUUAUUAACUUAAUGUAAAGGUAUGGAUGUUGAAUGAAACUUAGUGUUGCUCUUCAACCAGGUUAAACGAGUGGAAUUUGACUCUAUGGUUGUGUUGAUUGUUGGCUA
rnacentral:lncRNA from 1 species